AUCUGGGCGGCGGAAUUCAGGAUGGCGGGCGCGUCUUCGCGGCGCGUUCGUCGUUUGAUAUUUCCGUCGCCGACUCAACCCGCAGACGUCGCGACCUGUUCGCGGUCGGUCCUUGCUCGGAGGAGUCACGUUCGAGUUUGUUGCGUGCGCGUUUCUGCGCGUUACGCGGCAAAGGCGUGAAUCUCUGGCUGGCCGUCGGACAGUACGCUUAACGGUGUCCGGUGUCGUCGUCUCGUACGCGCGCGCACCGGUACCGGUCGGCGACGAAUUCUUCGGGCCUCUUUCCGACCCGUCUUGAAACACGGACCAAGGAGUCUAACAUGCGCGCGAGUCGCGGGGUGUCGAGCGCAUCACGGUGCGUUCGUUACGUUGCGAAACCCGUACAUGUCGAAGGCGUAAUGAAAGUAAAUGGGGAAGAUGGUGUUCCGAGUACACGUUCCGCGGUCAUUGGUACCGCGGCCGGACACCCGCAUUCCCGGGGCGUCUCAACGGCCCGUCGCGGAUGCGGGCAGUCGUCUCUCGGGGCGGCUGUCGGUCUGCGACGAACCGA
rnacentral:rRNA from 1 species